CGGGCGAGGCGCCGGUCUAAGUCCCUUGGAACGGGGCGUCAGAGAGGGUGAGAAUCCCGUACGCGACCGGUGACCGAGCCUAUGUGAAACCCCUUCGACGAGUCGAGUUGUUUGGGAAUGCAGCUCAAAACGGGUGGUAAAUUUCAUCUAAAGCUAAAUACCGGCCAGAGACCGAUAGCGCACAAGUAGAGUGAUCGAAAGAUGAAAAGCACUUUGGAAAGAGAGUCAAAAAGUACGUGAAAUUGUUGAAAGGGAAGCGCUUGCAACCAGACCUGCCCGCGGGUGAUCAGCCGUCCUUCUGGGCGGUGCACUCGCCCGCGAUCAGGCCAGCAUCGGUUCGGGCGGUCGGAUAAAGGCCUCGGGAACGUGGCUCCCCUCGGGGAGUGUUAUAGCCCUUGGUGCAAUGCGGCCCGCCCGGACCGAGGACCGCGCUUCGGCUAGGAUGCUGGCGUAAUGGUUGUAAGCGGCCCGUCUUGAAACACGGACCAAGGAGUCGACCAACUAUGCGAGUGUUUGGGUGUCAAACCCACACGCGCAAUGAAAGUGAACGGAGGUGGGAACCCCUCGCGGGGCGCACCAUCGACCGAUCCAGAUGUCUUCGGAUGGAUUUGAGUACGAGCAUAGCUGGUCGGACCCGAAAGAUGAUGAACUAUGCCUGAAUAGGGUGAAGCCAGAGGAAACUCUGGUGGAGGCUCGCAGCGGUUCUGACGUGCAAAUCGAUCGUCAAAUUUGGGCAUAGGGGCGAAAGACUAAUCGAAUCAUC
rnacentral:rRNA from 1 species